GUCAGAUACUGGCAAACUGGUGGAAACACCGGGACGCAAAGCAAUAGGGCCUAAUCCUCCGGCAGGAGGGACGGCAGCCUGGCCGCCGAA
rnacentral:ncRNA from 1 species